GUGAAUGUAUGAUUUUCUAACCCUCAACUUUUUCGUUGUUUUUGUCAGCAUAAUAGAAUUCAACAUGUGUGUAUAUAUGUAUCUUCUUUGUUUUCAUUCAAAAUCACUCUUUAAGGUCGAAAUUUUCGCUCAGACAAGAGUUAGUUGGAUCAAAAUUGAAGUUUUGUGAUUACUAAUAUUAUUUUUUUUUAUAGUUUACAGGCCGUAGAUGAAUGUUAGUUGACUUUGAAGAAUUUCUUGUGUAAAGGUUAGGUUUAAUUGUAUUGUUUUGAUAUUUUUAUUAUCUUAUUGUUUUAUUUUAAUUUAUAGAUGUUAGAUGAAUGUCGGUCGGUUUUGAAAUGUUUUUUAGCCCUUCAUUAAAAGAUUCUUUUUUAGACAAAACUUUCUUUUCACUAUUUUUUUAAUUUAUUAUUUAUUAUUUUUUAUUAUAUUAACUAGACUUCCUAAAAUAUAUGGUAGGAGAAUUAAGUAAUAUUUUCCUUUUUAUUAGACUUCCUAAAAUAUAGAGACUCCUAAAAUAUAUGGUAGAAAAAUUAAUUAAUAUUUUUCUUUCUACUUUUCAAUUAGAAAAAUACUCCUAAAAUAGGACUGCAUUAAGGAAAUCCUUCUAUAAAUAUUGAGGUGGACGUUACACUAGAGUACAGACCAGUUUGCCUAUUGGGAGAAUAUGAUUGAUGCUCAUCUAACUUGAUUCGAUUGUAUGUCUAGAUUGGUGAAUGUAUGAUUUUCUAACCCUCAACUUUUUCGUUGUUUUUGUCAGCAUAAUAGAAUUCAACAUGUGUGUAUAUAUGUAUCUUCUUUGUUUUCAUUCAAAAUCACUCUUUAAGGUCAAAAUUUUCGCUCAGACAAGAGUUAGUUGGAUCAAAAUCGAAGUUUUGUGAUCACUAUUAUAUUAUUUUUUUAUAGUUUACAUGCCGUAGAUGAAUGUUAGUUGGCUUUGAAGAAUUUCUUGUGUAAAGGUUAGGUUUAAUUGUAUUGUUUUGAUAUCUUUAUUAUCUUAUUGUUUUAUUUUAAUUUAUAGAUGUU
rnacentral:lncRNA from 1 species